GCAUAAUAUGAAGCCAUAUUAGUUUACUAAUUGGUUUUGUAUAUGGACCUUGCUACAGUGUCAAGGCAUUGUUGCAGCUCAUUCGUGAAUUUUAUCACACGAGAGAUGUGUUUAAGAAAAUCAUAGAGCUAGAACGCAAGAUUAUAUAUUUGGC